AGUGAACGCUGGCGGUAGGCCUAACACAUGCAAGUCGAACGGCAGCACAGUAAGAGCUUGCUCUUACGGGUGGCGAGUGGCGGACGGGUGAGGAAUACAUCGGAAUCUACUUUUUCGUGGGGGAUAACGUAGGGAAACUUACGCUAAUACCGCAUACGACCUACGGGGGAAAGCAGGGGAUCUUCGGACCUUGCGCGAUUGAAUGAGCCGCUGUCGGAUUAGCUAGUUGGCGGGGUAAAGGCCCACCAAGGCGACGAUCCGUAGCUGGUCUGAGAGGAUGAUCAGCCACACUGGAACUGAGACACGGUCCAGACUCCUACGGGAGGCAGCAGUGGGGAAUAUUGGACAAUGGGCGCAAGCCUGAUCCAGCCAGACCGCGUGGGUGAAGAAGGCCUUCGGGUUGUAAAGCCCUUUUGUUGGGAAAGAAAAGCAGCAGGUUAAUACCCCGCUGUUCUGACGGUACCCAAAGAAUAAGCACCGGCUAACUUCGUG
rnacentral:rRNA from 1 species